rnacentral:rRNA from 1 species
GACGAACGCUGGCGGCGUGCUUAACACAUGCAAGUCGAACGGAAAGGCCCUGCUUGCAGGGUACUCGAGUGGCGAACGGGUGAGUAACACGUGGGUGAUCUGCCCUGCACUUCGGGAUAAGCCUGGGAAACUGGGUCUAAUACCGGAUAGGAGCCAUUUUUAGUGUGAUGGUUGGAAAGUUUUUUCGGUGUAGGAUGAGCUCGCGGCCUACCAGCUUGUUGGUGGGGUAAUGGCCUACCAAGGCGGCGACGGGUAGCCGGCCUGAGAGGGUGGACGGCCACAUUGGGACUGAGAUACGGCCCAGACUCCUACGGGAGGCAGCAGUGGGGAAUAUUGCACAAUGGGCGCAAGCCUGAUGCAGCGACGCCGCGUGGGGGAUGACGGCCUUCGGGUUGUAAACUCCUUUCGCUAGGGACGAAGCUUUUUGUGACGGUACCUAGAGAAGAAGCACCGGCUAACUACGUG